AUUGAACGCUGGCGGCAGGCUUAACACAUGCAAGUCGAGCGGGGGAAGGUAGCUUGCUACCGGACCUAGCGGCGGACGGGUGAGUAAUGCUUAGGAAUCUGCCUAUUAGUGGGGGACAACAUCUCGAAAGGGAUGCUAAUACCGCAUACGUCCUACGGGAGAAAGCAGGGGAUCUUCGGACCUUGCGCUAAUAGAUGAGCCUAAGUCGGAUUAGCUAGUUGGUGGGGUAAAGGCCUACCAAGGCGACGAUCUGUAGCGGGUCUGAGAGGAUGUUCCGCCACACUGGGACUGGGACACGGCCCAGACUCCUACGGGAGGCAGCAGUGGGGGAUAUUGGACAAUGGGGGGAACCCUGAUCCAGCCAUGCCGCGUGUGUGAAGAAGGCCUUAUGGUUGUAAAGCACUUUAAGCGAGGAGGAGGCUACUUUAGUUAAUACCUAGAGAUAGUGGACGUUACUCGCAGAAUAAGCACCGGCUAACUCUGUGCCAGCCGCCGCGGUAAUAC
rnacentral:rRNA from 1 species